rfam:Lactococcus lactis subsp. cremoris TIFN6 scaffold15.1_0, whole genome shotgun sequence.
UGAGAAGUUGCUCCUUAUGAGUAAUUUUGGUUAAGCAUAGAGAAACUGAUUUUUCCGUCUGAUUUCUCUAUGCUUUUAUUAUAUCA